rnacentral:rRNA from 1 species
GAUGAACGCUGACAGAAUGCUUAACACAUGCAAGUCUACUUGAACUUCGGUUUGGGUGGCGGACGGGUGAGUAACGCGUACAGAACUUGCCUCACAGUUAGGGACAACAUUUGGAAACGAAUGCUAAUACCUGAUAUUAUGAUUUUAGGGCAUCCUAAAAUUAUGAAAGCUAUAUGCGCUGUGAGAGAGCUUUGCGUCCCAUUAGCUAGUUGGAGAGGUAACGGCUCACCAAGGCGAUGAUGGGUAGCCGGCCUGAGAGGGUGAACGGCCACAAGGGGACUGAGACACGGCCCUUACUCCUACGGGAGGCAGCAGUGGGGAAUAUUGGACAACGGACCAAAAGUCUGAUCCAGCAAUUCUGUGUGCACGAUGACGUUUUUCGGAAUGUAAAGUGCUUUCAGUUGGGAAGAAAAAAAUGACGGUACCAACAGAAGAAGUGACGGCUAAAUACGUG